CGGCAGCACAGAAGAGCUUGCUCUUUGGGUGGCGAGUGGCGGACGGGUGAGUAAUGUCUGGGAAACUGCCCGAUGGAGGGGGAUAACUACUGGAAACGGUAGCUAAUACCGCAUAACGUCGCAAGACCAAAGUGGGGGACCUUCGGGCCUCACACCAUCGGAUGUGCCCAGAUGGGAUUAGCUAGUAGGUGGGGUAAUGGCUCACCUAGGCGACGAUCCCUAGCUGGUCUGAGAGGAUGACCAGCCACACUGGAACUGAGACACGGUCCAGACUCCUACGGGAGGCAGCAGUGGGGAAUAUUGCACAAUGGGCGCAAGCCUGAUGCAGCCAUGCCGCGUGUAUGANGAAGGCCUUCGGGUUGUAAAGUACUUUCAGCGGGGAGGAAGGCGGUGAGGUUAAUAACCUUGCCGAUUGACGUUACCCGCAGAAGAAGCACCGGCUAACUCCGUGCCAGCAGCCGCGGUAAUACGGAGGGUGCAAGCGUUAAUCGGAAUUACUGGGCGUANAGCGCACGCAGGCGGUCUGUUAAGUCAGAUGUGAAAUCCCCGGGCUUANCCUGGGAACUGCAUUUGAAACUGGCAGGCUUGAGUCUCGUAGAGGGGGGUAGAA
rnacentral:rRNA from 1 species